rnacentral:rRNA from 1 species
AGGUUGAACGCUAGCGGGAUGCUUUACACAUGCAAGUCGAACGGCAGCGCGGACUUCGGUCUGGCGGCGAGUGGCGAACGGGUGAGUAAUAUAUCGGAACGUGCCCAGUAGCGGGGGAUAACUACGCGAAAGCGUGGCUAAUACCGCAUACGCCCUACGGGGGAAAGGGGGGGAUUCUUCGGAACCUCUCACUAUUGGAGCGGCCGAUAUCAGAUUAGCUAGUUGGUGAGGUAAAGGCUCACCAAGGCGACGAUCUGUAGCUGGUUUGAGAGACGACCAGCCACACUGGGACUGAGACACGGCCCAGACUCCUACGGGAGGCAGCAGUGGGGAAUUUGGACAGUGGGGGAAACCUGAUCCAGUCCAUCCCGCGUGUGCGAU